AGUCGAACGAGAGAUGAAGAGCUUGCUCUUCAAAUUGAGUGGCGAACGGGUGAGUAACGCGUGAGGAACCUGCCUCAAAGAGGGGGACAACAGUUGGAAACGACUGCUAAUACCGCAUAAGCCCACGGCUCGGCAUCGAGCAGGGGGAAAAGGAGCAAUCCGCUUUGAGAUGGCCUCGCGUCCGAUUAGCUAGUUGGUGAGGUAACGGCCCACCAAGGCGACGAUCGGUAGCCGGACUGAGAGGUUGAACGGCCACAUUGGGACUGAGACACGGCCCAGACUCCUACGGGAGGCAGCAGUGGGGAAUAUUGCACAAUGGGGGAAACCCUGAUGCAGCGACGCCGCGUGGAGGAAGAAGGUCUUCGGAUUGUAAACUCCUGUUGUUGAGGAAGAUAAUGACGGUACUCAACAAGGAAGUGACGGCUAACUACGUGCCAGCAGCCGCGGUAAAACGUAGGUCACAAGCGUUGUCCGGAAUUACUGGGUGUAAA
rnacentral:rRNA from 1 species